GAGGAGAGCAAGUCUCUGAAGAGAAACUAAUAGCUUUACAACAUAAACGCCCCUUUCCUUUUAUUUGACAUGAACUAACUUUUUAGCUCUGGUUUUAUGUGGAGCAUCAACUCUUUGCAAACAUUGCCAUCUAGUGUCAAACUUUAGGUAAUGCCGUGCAGAAAAUAUGGUUAUUACACAUUCACCAAACCUUUCUGCUGUACUUAAACAGAUGUAAACACAUGCAGAUAAAUACAAUGAUUUACUAUUUCUGAAGCCCUCAGAGAUUAAACAUUAAAACAUAAACAGUGGAGCAUUGAGAAGCGGGUAAACAUUUUUUGGAGUCAACAGUUUUUCCUAAAAUGUGAAACAAGUUGAGUUUUUUUUUUUUUUCAUUUUUAUUUUGUAAAAUCUGGUCCAAUAAACAGAUGACAGUUUCUUCAGUCUGUGAAUCAACAGGUGCGUCCCGCCUACCAACAAGUCCUCGGAAACACGUGAAUAAAGUGAACAGCAGGGGGCGCUCUAAAGCAACGACUGACGAAAGACGGAGCGCAAGAAUGAAGUAUUGCAACUAAAAGAAGCGCAGAGAGAAAUUUCCGUUCCUAACAAUAUCAGAGUAAUUUCUUUUUUUACUAAAUGCAUAAAUAAAAUAAAAUGAAUCAUUUUGUGUGAAGGAUUGAAAAAAAUGAGCUUCACGUUUGGAGACACCGCUCGGUCACACAUAUGCAGCAGCACAGCAGUGAUAAAAUGAUCAUAAAGCAGCAUUAAGUGUUUUAUGAUCCUAAAGAAAUAAAUGAAAAUAAAGACGCGUGCACCACAGAGCUUUAAUAAAGCGAGUCGUUAGGAACAGGUACGUUUUCUUCACGCUGCUGCUCUGAGUGCACACCGCUCGCGCGUGCACGUGCGUUCAGAUGCGUGUGCGCGCAGGCGGAGGAUCGCCGCGGAGCCGUACCGUGUAGCAGGCACAAGCCGCUGGGCGCGCAGGAGAAGCCGCAAAAAAAUCCAGCAGCCGCUGCUUGAAGCUGCCAGGAGCGCAGAGAACGUGUCGGAACUUCAGUGCACACGUUUCUGCAGCAAAAUGAAACGGAUCCUUCUUCUUAUCGAUGAUGCUGAACACAAGGCCAGUGAUACAAAAUGGGAGGCAAGCUCAGCAAAAAGAAGAAGGGGUACAGUGUAAACGAUGACAAGGCUAAAGACAAGGAUGCCAAAGCAGAGGGGGCCUCAGCAGAGGAGAGCGAAGCACCGAAAGACAACAAGGACGGGGCUCCAGCUGCCGGUGAUGCUAAGGAGAUAGCUAAUGACACGGCAGCCAAGGAGGCGCCAGCAGCUGAUGCCGCGGCACCCAAAGAGGAGGAAAAGAACGCAGCUCCUGCCGCAAAGGAGGCAGAGAAACCUGCCGCCAACGCUGAGCCCAAAACGGAGGCGCCCAAGAGCGCAGAGCCCGCCAAGGCCGAGGAGAAACCAGCCGCCCCUGCCCCGGCCAAAGAAUCGGCCCCGGCCGCGAAGGAAGCCGAGGCUAAGGCCGCGGCACCCACCCCUGCAGCCGAGAGCAAAGAUGAGGCCGACGCCAAAAAGACUGAGGCCCCUGCGGCACCAGCAGCCAAAGCCGAAGCGGCCCCCGCUGCCUCCCCCGACCCCAAGCCUACAGAGGCAGCGGCAGCUCCCGCCCCAGCAAAGGAGGCCACCCCUGCUCCUAGUUCAACACCAGCCGCCGAACCUCCCAAGGAGGCAAACGCCACAGAGGCACCAAGCAAGGAUCAAACCGUAGCAGUUCAAGAUUAAUGGACAGCCACUUUUCGGAAAUGAAGAAAUAAAUUACCUAACUCAACAACGAUGAAGAUUAAAAAAGAAAGAAAGAAAUUUACUAGUCCACCCAUAUUAUGAUAAUAACAAUAAUAAUAAUAAUUGUAAUGAUGAAGAUUUGUUGAUCGAGGAGGACUGAAGCAACCACCUGGAGAAGUUUCCCACCGCUGCAGAUGAUUAUUGCUAUUAUUAUUGUUAUGUUUUAUUCUAUUUUUUUUCUGCCGUAGUAUUUGAACUUUGAUACGAGUGUAUGUCGGCCAUACGCCUCGCCAUUUAUCCGCCAUUCCUCUCGCUCAUACAGUCCCACAAAGUUUGGCCUGAUUCCCACGUCAGCCCACAGAAGGCUCCUGCAUUCGAUCUGUGGACGUCUAAAUUUUGGGGUUCUGAUGGAGGGAAGGGGAGAGGUUAAGAAAACACCUUACCAGCUGGACUCAAGUCGAAUCUGUCCCCUCUUCGGCUCUCCCUCUUCCUCUCAUCCUCCUCGUCAGAAUAUUGUGAUUUUGGCUCUGGCCUGGUACCUCCAGCUUUUCAGUGCUGUGGAGUCGUGGUUGUGGUCGUGCGUGAUUGUGUGUGGUAUUGUCGGGUUGUGUUGCUUCCUAUUUUUCUCUCUAAAAAGAUCCCACUUUCUUUGAAGAGCUUUUACUUGGAGAUUCAUUGUGAGGACUGGGAAUUUUCAGGCUUUCUAAGGCAUUUCGCAAGGUUGGUAAAGGUGGGCUUUGCAGAGAAAAAAACAACAUUAGACAUUAAACAGUUGUAGGAUUUUUCAGAUAAACUUCUACAUUUUGUACUGAAACCCUUAGCUAUAUUGUUAGUAAACUAAGUGGGUUUUUUAACAUUUGUAUUGCUUAGAUAAUCUGCAAAGCCUCGCUGAAAAGAUCUCUAAAAUGUUCUUAGAAAGUUCAAUGCAAGCCUCUCGUCCUCGAGCAAAAUCUGAAGACAAAUUAGAGUAAAAAUUAUCGUAUACGUUUUUUUUGUUUGUUUGAAAAGACAUAUCUUUUGCUGACCUGGGUGAAGUAGACAGUACGGUCACAUCUUAGAGGUUGUUUGAACUUGCUUAAAAUACCAAGAAGGUGAUGUUUGCUCCUUCAUGGGUAGAGCUCAGUUAGUGAAUGCUCAGUUGUGCCUUUGUAACCUAAAUAGACAAGACUGGCACUCAAACAUCCUGUGAUUGUCUGGAAGACAAAUCAUUUCCUUAGCGAAAGUAAAAGGGUGUAAAACUGACUGCAAGACACACUUUCGAUUCAAGUAUUAGCAGCACAAUAUGUUUCUGAAAAAGUCAACAGUGGAUUCUUUUACUUUGAAAUAAAAUUGUUACAUGCUCACAUACAAUCUCCUGACACGGAAAUUUCAACAGUUAAAAAAGACACUAUCCAACUAGUAGAGCCGUUUCAUAUUCAAGUUUAAUGGCCCUACCAGAGCAAACCUUACAGCACUAAAGCAGUCUGCCCUGUUGAGCAAACCUCACCCUUUUGGUAUCAAAGCAGUGAAAAGGCCUUAAGCGAGAGCGCUCACAAUGCUGUUUGACCCAGGUCUGAUUUACUGGGUUUUGAAUCAGUGUAGCUUUCCACCACUAACAGUCUGAUACCACUGAAGAACAGGCAGGAGGCAGGAUUUCAGCAAACGAUCAGAGCCAUCAGCAACCAAUUCAGUGUAAUAUGGUCCAUGUUUCUAAGGCUGGAAGGAAAGGCCUUGCACAUGGAAGGGAGCCUCUGAUUUAGUCAUUAUCGCCAUUCGUGCAUUUUCCUUUACUGUUUGGAAAUAUAGGUUACAUGUAUGUACAUCUGUGCAGUGGUGGAAGGAAAAGUACUAAAGUACACCUUUGAUACAUUAAAAACUAGCAAUAUUGAUAGAUGUCUCCACCCAAAUUUAUUUUUACUGUAAACACCAAGCACACUUUUGAAAACACCCAGCUUCCACCGCUUGAGGAACUUUUUUUAAAAGCCAAAACACUUUGGUGUAAAACCGUAAACAGUGUGAGACUUUGAAAGGAUCAUGAUAUCUUUGGUCAUGGCAGUGGAGUCCUGCAAACAAAAAUAGCUUGGGACUAAACUUCCACAGCAAAACUUUAGGAUUCCAGCAAAGGAGAGACUUAGGUUGAGUUGCGAUGGACGAGGGGAGGACGAUGUAGCAUAGAAGAAAGUAGAAGAGACAUAAAUGGCACGUGAUCCAGUGGGUAUGCCAACAACAGUAUGCAUCAAAUAUGACGUCUUGCCCAAGUGUAUUAGAACCACAUUGCACAGUGUGGCUCAAAUUGCAUGUAUGGAGACCUUUAAGGGUUUUUAGUGGGAGUAAUCUUGCACAGAGAUGGAUGCUUAGAAAGCAGCAGUUGUGGUAUUGACUCCAUUCUUGGUUUUUCAGUCGUGUUCAUCACUUGUGCGAGUAGGACGUGGCGGUUGUUCGGCAUGGUGUUAACUCCACCCAUCCUCCGCUACUAAUGAAUUACCUGGUUAAAAAAGUUAAGGUGACAUUACAGCGUUUUACAGAGCUGAGCAUCCUUAAACUCUCAGCAACCAGCAAAAACCAGCCCAUUCAGAUUCACACAUGUGCAGGUUUACGGUGAUACUGAGACAGUUCUAACUUGCCCCAUGUGGACGUUUAAAGACCCCAUAGCAUCACUUUUAAAUGCACUGGUUAAGUGUAACCCAAAUCUCUGUCUUGUACUUAACCUGUGUGCAUGUGCGUCAUGCUGCUUGUGUCUUUAGCACAGUGCAGUUAUGCAGCACUCUCAGUGCAAACUAGUGAAAAUAGAAUACACCGGCCCAGGAAAGACAAAGGAGGGAUUUUUAUCAUUGAUACUACAGUAGAAACAUUUUGAUGAUUAUCAUAUGAGAUGAAAAAGGAAGAAAUGACAGUGAAAGAAAACCAGCAGGACAGAUGGAAGGAAGAACGUGAAGGACAAGAAAGCUCAGAUUUUAGAUUGUACUUCAUGAUGAACACAGUGGACGAAGUAGUACGACUUUAUUGAGCUAAAUGCUUUUGCACAAAACAGUCAAGUAAGGUACCAGCAACCCAAAAUUGUGCUUGGCUUAUUCAAACCAACAUUCGUCUUUCCACCUUUGCAUGUAUGUAAGUAUAUGUAUAUAUAUAUUUAGUCAUCUCAGCCAUCCAUCUGCCACUUUUCAGUUCCAUCCAUGUGACGUUCAGCGUUUUCCUCCCAGCACUCGUCAAACCGUAGCAGAAACAAACACUCGAGGAGCGCCGCUUGUCACAUGGCUCAGUUUUUUCUUCCUCUCUUGACUCAGUAACUUGCAUGUCCGUGGUUGGGUGAACCUGUAGUCCUGUCUUUUUGGUCAAGUGGAAAAAAUAAUAAUUUUUCAGUCUGCAUCCAUGGCAACUACAGUUGAUAUUUUCAUCCCAUGUUUCAUCACUGCUACUUCCACACCACACGUUCAGACAAACAAACAAAAAGAUGAUAUGGAAAUUGAUGCAUUCAAAAUUAUAUGUACUUGUAUAAAUGGUGGAACAGUAAUAAAAUGUACUAAAUUGACUUGA
ensembl:lncRNA